rnacentral:rRNA from 1 species
GGUACCGAAAGGGUCGAGACCGCGGUAAACCUCUAGUUGGUGCGGUAGAGAGGGAGGGGUGGAGACCGUGGUAAACUCGACACGUGUACGUUGUUGAGCGGGAGAGUAAGUGGUACGGUACAGUAUUCGUUAUUAGGAAGCGUUGUCAAAUAGUUCUCGAUUGUGUUUGUGGUGGAGCCAAGAUGCGGGAGCAUAAUGGACGAAGGCGGGGGAAACAUGUCGGAUGCGAUCAUACCAGCACUAGAGCACC